CAAGUCGAGGGGUAGAGUUCUUCGGAACUUGAGACCGGCGCACGGGUGCGUAACGCGUAUGCAAUCUACCUUUUACAGAGGGAUAGCCCAGAGAAAUUUGGAUUAAUACCUCAUAGUAUUAUGACUCGGCAUCGAGUUAUAAUUAAAGUCACAACGGUAAAAGAUGAGCAUGCGUCCCAUUAGCUAGUUGGUAAGGUAACGGCUUACCAAGGCUACUAUGGGUAGGGGUCCUGAGAGGGAGAUCCCCCACACUGGUACUGAGACACGGACCAGACUCCUACGGGAGGCAGCAGUGAGGAAUAUUGGACAAUGGGCGCAAGCCUGAUCCAGCCAUGCCGCGUGCAGGAUGACGGUCCUAUGGAUUGUAAACUGCUUUUAUACGAGAAGAAACACUCCUUCGUGAAGGAGCUUGACGGUAUCGUAAGAAUAAGGAUCGGCUAACUCCGUGCCAGCAGCCGCGGUAAUACGGAGGAUCCAAGCGUUAUCCGGAAUCAUUGGGUUUAAAGGGUCCGUAGGCGGUUUAAUAAGUCAGUGGUGAAAGCCCAUCGCUCAACGGUGGAACGGCCAUUGAUACUGUUAGACUUGAAUUAUUAGGAAGUAACUAGAAUAUGUAGUGUACCGGUGAAAUGCUUAUAGAUUACAUGGAAUACCAAUUGCGAAUGCAGGUUACUACUAAUGGAUUGACGCUGAUGC
rnacentral:rRNA from 1 species